AUUGAACGCUGGCGGCAGGCCUAACACAUGCAAGUCGAGCGGGGUUUUCGGACCUAGCGGCGGACGGGUGAGUAAUGCGUAGGAAGCUGCCCGAUAGAGGGGGAUACCAGUUGGAAACGACUGUUAAUACCGCAUAAUGUCUACGGACCAAAGUGUGGGACCUUCGGGCCACAUGCUAUCGGAUGCGCCUACGUGGGAUUAGCUAGUUGGUGAGGUAAUGGCUCACCAAGGCGACGAUCUCUAGCUGGUUUGAGAGGAUGAUCAGCCACACUGGAACUGAGACACGGCCCAGACUCCUACGGGAGGCAGCAGUGGGGAAUAUUGGGCAAUGGGCGCAAGCCUGAUCCAGCCAUGCCGCGUGUGUGAAGAAGGCCUUCGGGUUGUAAAGCACUUUCAGCGAGGAGGAAGGGGUGUGUGUUAAUAGUACACACCUUUGACGUUACUCGCAGAAGAAGCACCGGCUAACUCUGUGCCAGCCGCCGCCGUAAGAC
rnacentral:rRNA from 1 species